rnacentral:lncRNA from 1 species
UAGAACAGGGAGGUUUUCACGAUUUGCAGAGCUUAGUAUCGCAAAAACACUGUUCUCUAACCUCUCUGAAUUUUCAGGAACAAUCGGCAUGGCUUUUGAUGGGGAUAGAGAGAUAUUGUUUAGGUUUUUUCUAGAGAGAUAAAGGCGUAAGAAAGGGUAUUAGAGAGGGCACUAUAUAUAGAGAAACAUAGAACGUGAAACGGCGGGAAUUGAAAUUUCUCAAAAUUCAUUUAUCUUAUUUCCCGCCAAACGACAACAUUUAACAAACGUGUCGGCCGAGUUAUAUAGCCUAUUACGGCUGAUUUAAUAUUUGGAAUUUAGGGUUUAGGGUUUAGUAUUUAGAGUUUAGGUUUGUUUAUUUAGGGAUUUAUGUUUAGGAUUUGGAAUAACGGUGUGAUAAAUAUAACAAAGAACAUAAAUUUAGUCUUAAAAUGCGUUGUAUAUAGUUUAGGAG